rnacentral:lncRNA from 1 species
AUGAUGGAGGAGACAUAUGGUAAUUACUACUAUGAACAGUUUAUAAAAAAUAUGUGGGAAAAUACAAGUAAAGAAGUAUUAAAAAAUCAUAAAUAUGAUAAUCAUAAUAAUAACAUUUAUAAUACAGUAGGAGGGUAUAAUAAUAACAUUUAUAAUACAGUAGGGGGAUCUAAUAAUUAUUCAAAAAUGUUAGGGAAUGUUUCUGUUUACGAAAAUAGUUUUGAUUAUAAUGAAAGAAAUUGUGAUCCAUAUAUAUAUUAUGAGGAUAAUGCAAUUAAUAAUAACAAUAAUAUGAGUAAUGUCAAAGAUAACAAUAUAAACUAUUUAAGUUUGAGCAACUCCUUAUACAUUUAUUGUUUUCUUUUUGUUAGUAUUUACCUUUUAGAUUCCAAUGAACAUUUAAUAUACAAACCUGAUACUGUUGUAAGUGAAAAUGAAGAAAUGGAAUUAGAUGGUGCUUGUAAAGUAGAUACAUGUGAUAAUUAUUUAAACUUGAAACAAGUGGAAGAUAAUUGUACUGAACAAGAAGAUUAUCAUACUUAUAAAAAAAAAAAAAUAAAAAAAAACAAAAAACAUUCUCAUAAAAAACAUGGCUUAUAUGAACAAGUAGAAAGUGAAGAUAAAGUUGAAUCAAUAAAAGGAAAGGAGAAUAUAACAAAUAAACAAAAUGAAGUAAGAAAACAUAAAGAACGAAUGAAAGAAAGUAAUGGUAGUAAAUAUCAAUCUGUAGAACCUGAAAUUAAAAGUGUGUUAGAUGGUGAUAAUGACAAUAUGUAUAAUAAAUUGAACAAAGAAUUGAACAAAGAAUUGAACAAAGAAUUGAACAAAGAAUUGAACAGAGAAUUGAACAAAGACAUAUAUCAAAAAAAUAUUUAUAAUAAUGAUGAUAACAUUAUUAUUAAAAAAAAAAGCAAUUACUCUACUAUAUAUGAUAAAAAUUAUGGGGAUUAUUAUGAAGGUGUAACAUAUGACAAUAAUUAUACCACUAGUACCACAUUUGUUAAUAAUAACAAUGACGACAGUGUAAUUACAAUAACAAUUACUACCACUAUGAUAAUUAUAACAAUUAUAAUAAUAAUAACUAUAAACAAAAUUAUAAAUAUAAUAAUUAUUACGAGAAUGAAAACAAGAACUACCUUAACUACAACGACAACGAAAAUUACGAAAAUUAUGAAAAUUACAAUAAUGAUAAUUUGA